rnacentral:lncRNA from 1 species
UGACGUGCUAAUAGCCAUUAACAACCAUGGUUUACAAAUUGACAUGCUAAUAGCCGUCAGCAACCAUGGGACAGCAGCUCCUCCACGCUCCCCGGUCGGGCGACAGACUCGUCGGCCUAGUACAUUGCUAGUAUGAACUAAGAGAUGGCACGAGCGCGGGGUGCCGGCUGACCGAGGGCACAAGAUGUGAUGUGAUGGCACUCCGAGACGACCAACCCGGCCAAC